rnacentral:tRNA from 1 species
UCCGGCAUGGUCUAGUGGUUAGGAUACCUGGCUCUCACCCAGGAGGCCGGUUCGAUUCCGGUGUCGGAA